UGAGACACGGUCCAGACACCUACGUGGUGGCAGCAGUCGAGAAUCAUUCGCAAUGGGGGAAACCCUGACGAUGCGACGCCGCGUGGAGGAUGAAGUGCCUUAGGGGUUUGUAAACUCCUGUCAAGAGGGAAUAAGCAAGUGAAGGUACCUCUAGAGGAAGGGGCGGCUAAUUCCGUGCCAGCAGCCGCGGUAACACGGAAGCCCCGAGCGUUGUUCGGAUUCAUUGGGCGUAAAGGGUGCGUAGGCGGCGCGGAAAGUCCGGCGUGAAAGGCAGAGGCUCAACCUCUGGACUGCGUUGGAUACUUCCGUGCUUGAGGACUGGAGGGGAGACUGGAAUUCACGGUGUAGCAGUGAAAUGCGUAGAUAUCGUGAGGAAGACCGGUGGCGAAGGCGAGUCUCUGGACAGAUCCUGACGCUGAGGCACGAAGGCUGGGGGAGCGAACAGGAUUAGAUACCCUGGUAGUCCCAGCAGUAAACGAUGUGAGCUUGAUGUGGGGGGAUUCGACCCCUUCCGUGUCGAAGCUAACGCGAUAAGCUCACCGCCUGAGGAGUACGGCCGCAAGGCUAAAACUCAAAGAAAUUGACGGGGACCCGCACAAGCGGUGGAGUAUGUGGCUUAAUUCGAUGCAACGGGAAGAACCUUACCUGGCCUUGACAUGCAUUGUGUCGUCGGUGAAAGCCGGCUAGUCCUGGAAACAGGACGCUUUGCACAGGUGUUGCAUGGCUGUCGUCAGCUCGUGUCGUGAGAUGUUGGGUUAAGUCCCGCAACGAGCGCAACCCUUGUGGUCAGUUACUAACCGGCUUAGCCGGAGGACUCUGGCCAGACUGCCCUGUCAAACGGGGAGGAAGGUGGGGACGACGUCAAGUCAGUAUGGCCCUUAUGGCCAGGGCUGCACACGUACUACAAUGCCCGGUACAAUGUGAACCGAAACCGCGAGGUGGAGGAAAUCGCUCUUGAAAACCGGGCCCAGUUCGGAUUGGAGUCUGCAACUCGACUCCAUGAAGUCGGAAUCGCUAGUAAUGGCGUAUCAGCAACGACGCCGUGAAUACGUUCCCGGGUCUUGUACACACCGCCCGUCACAUCAUGGAAGUCUCCUGUACCCGAAGCACGUGCGCCAACCUUUUAGGAGGCAGCGUUCGAAGGUAUGGGAGGUAACUGGGAUGAAGU
rnacentral:rRNA from 1 species